UACGGGGGGGGUAAGCGUUGUUCGGAAUUACUGGGCGUAAAGGGCUCGUAGGCGGCCAACUAAGUCGGACGUGAAAUCCCUCAGCUUAACUGGGGAACUGCGUCCGAUACUGGAUGGCUUGGAUUUGGGAGAGGGAUGCGGAAUUCCAGGUGUAGCGGUGAAAUGCGUAGAUAUCUGGAGGAACACCGGUGGCGAAGGCGGCAUCCUGGACCGAGAUUGACGCUGAGGCGCGAAAGCCAGGGGAGCAAACGGG
rnacentral:rRNA from 1 species